CAGAAGAAUCACCUUCUUCUCCAGAACACCAACAUCCAGUCCAUCCACCUACAGAGGCUCACCUCUUCUAUUUGGACCAGACUCCACUGAAGCGAAAAGUCUACUGCACUGACACAGAAUUGUAUAUCAAAAUUUUUCAGAUGAAUGAAAAGAACACAACAUACGUAUAUUUGAAACAUCUUCCUUCCAAAAAGGCCAUGCCAAAAGAAAAGAUAAAAGGGCCACCAAUUUACUCAGAAGUGAAAAAUACUACUUCAAACUCCAAUCAGACAAAGAUAACAAGAAAUAAAUCAUC